GAUUUCCCAGUGGGCCUGUUCUGAUCUCACCAUGCCCAUUUGCACUGGCAGCCGGUUGCUGUUUUGUUGUACCUGUUGGGAAACACAGAAAUAAGAGAGGGAAAGCUAAUGAUAACAGAUAGGCUGCCAGUAGCAAUCCUGCCACCUGUUGAGCUUCAUCUCUCAUACUCUACCACUGACAGCACAAACAGAUCUAAACGACUGCAGCAAGCGGCUGAAGAAAGAAAAAAGGAAACAAGAAAGCUUGUGUCCAGCCCCACUGUGACUGAAAUAAGAACAGAUACUGCUCAGGACACUGGGAUGCUCUCUGCCAAAUAUUGCCAUGGACCAAGCAUGCUCAGUGCCAGAGAGGGCUCGGCUGACCUAUACUGCAGGAGGAAGAAUCUCCACAGUGUUGUGGUGGAAUAAAGGAAUAAUUCUUUUCCCUCAGCUGAAAGAAGUAGCCCCACACACCAGUGAAAGUGACACUUCAUCUUCCAUCAAAUCUGCCCCUAGGAACAGCUUUUGCAGAAUGGCUCUUCUGUAUUUGCAUUAAUAUUGCCUUGAGACAUCAUGGCCACAGCUGCAUGGAACACGUGUGCACUGUGCACCUCACUUCAGAAGAUAUGCUACAUUUGGAGGGGAGGGUAUGCAUGCCCACAGAAUGGAGAAAGUCAAAGAUCUAACUACAUACAAACAGUUCUUCUAUAGGCAUUCCUAGAUGCCAUUUAUGCAGACUGAAAACAAACAUCCAGAGACAUGCCCAUUUGGGAAUAUUGGGCUAACCUAACUCUGCCUCCUCCUGGAGUUCCUAAGGAGACCAGAUCAGAAAUAGAUGACUAAUAUUUAAUGGUUCCAUGCUGUCUAUUAAUGUUGACAAUCAUCUGUUCUUUGAUAUACUUUAAACAAGACCUAAUUAAAAGCUCUGAAGUCAAGAGCGAUGCUCACAGAAUCUUUGAUUCAUUUAAAGUGCCAUUUAAUAAUCUGGGCUUUUGUAACUGCUGCCAUUUUUUUUUUUUCUCCUGUUUGGUCACAUUCUUUUAGAAAUUGAUUCAGGUGCCCUGAAAGUUGAGUGUAUUUUGAGAGGUGUAAGGCAACCUUUCGUGCUUCUGAGUGAAGGAAACACUUAGUAUUGUUAGAAAAGAAUCAGGUUUCUUCCAAUCCAGACAUUGCCUCUUUUAUGUGGUACAUGGAUGUUGAUGUUGCACUUUCAUAUGUAGGCAAUUUGCAUUGCAGGAGAAGGAUGCAAUUCAUCAAAGCUCAGAGCUACAUCAGAUUGGGUAGAGUCUCGUGUCUACAGCAUGGAUAUGGGG
ensembl:lncRNA